UUCAAUUACUUUUAGACCACUUUUGUUAUAUUUGGACUGUAUAUAUGUCUGUUUGGGCUGAUUUUGUGGUUUGAGUGGAUUAGGUUUAUCAAACCUGCUAAUUUUUGUGGAAUUUUUCAAAGAUUUAUCAAAUCAUAAAAUAAUGAGAAAUGCAUGUAUAGUUAUUUUAUAAAAUUGUAAGAUAAUCUUUAUAUGAAAACAAUAGUUAAUUUUACGAUUUAUCAAUUGCAUGGCCUGGUGAUGGACGAUUUGGCAAGUGCACCAAAUCAUAACAAAUAAUAAAGUAAUAAGUUAUCGUCUCUACAUGAAUUGUCGUUCAACUUAGCAAUUAACAAAAUUUAUUUAUGUAAAAAACUUCAUCUCCUUUCAAGCUAAACAUAAAGCACCCUCAUGCAUCAUAAAGAGAUUCCUCUUCUCUUUCUAAAAGUUGGUUAUCUCAAGUCUCAACACGCUUCUUCUUGAAAUUUGUGUCCAAGAAGAACCGUUCUACAAAUUUAUCUUAAAGUUAAUCCAUAUUUUAAUGGUUCCACUUGAUAAAGCCAACCGCCAAUUUUUAGCUCUUCCAACUAGAGACAUUGGAAAAAGUUGCAGUAGUGUCUUCUGAUCCACUGUUAUACCAUCUGGGCAGCAAUACUGACAAGUCUCAUAGACUUGUUGGGGUCUUGUACUGGUCCUCCACCACAUACAUGUUGUGCUUCAAACUUGUACAGUAUAAAAUGUUUUCCUCCUUCCAAAAAAGAGUAUAAAAUGUUUUCCAAAAACCAAUAAUUUUAGCGCAAAGUGGUUAACGAGUUUCAUCAAGUACGAAUUAUUAAGGAGCAAUUUAUUGAUGAAAUAAUUUUUAUUCAGACUUUAUUUAUUUUUCGCCCAAACUCCAGAUUAUCAGAGUCUCUUUUUCCAAAAAUUGAAAUAUACACAAAAAUAUGUUUCCCAAAAACAUAAAUACAAAAAUAUCAUAUAACAUUCUUUAAAUAUAUAUAUAUAUAUAUAUAUAUAUAUAUAUAUAUAUAUAUAUAUAUAUAUAUUUUGAAGAGACUAAAAUGAAAUAUAUUAACACAACAAUGGUCUUCCUAGCACUAGGUGUGCUAAGGAAGAAACACCAAAGUCAACACAGUAUUACAUCAAUAAUUACAAGGCCACAGCCAGCACCAAAAAACUGCAUAGGAGACUACAGAGUUUAUCAUAUGUCUAAUAAAGUGAAAGAACUAUUGAAAGGAAUAGUAGCAUACUUCACCUUCAACCACUUAUAAGUUAGCAGCUUAAACCUGUCCACCACCUGAACGAUUGAACUAUAUAUAUAACAUUGUUCUUCCAUUAGUGGUUGUAGUCGCGUGUUUAUUAACCGACGAUCCUUUGCAGCUGAAAUGCGAUAUUCAUGUUAUACGUUUUAUCAUUCUCCGUUACUUCACGUUACUACAUAUUUUCAAUUAGUUUGAUAAUGACAUGCACUAAAAAAUUAUUAUUUUAUCCAAUUAUA
rnacentral:lncRNA from 1 species